GGCACGACGGAGACGGCCUCCUGCGCUAGGUGGGGAAUGGGGGCAUCAACAGCAGGGAAUCUUGGUGCGGGAGCAGGGACGGUGGGAAAUCCGCUGUGGUCGGCGGCGCAACUUCACACCUCACGUAAGGUUGGAUGAGUUCACUGGAAGAAGGCCUUGUGGUUGAGUUGGUGACGCCCAUAUCUGGUGUUUUUUGUUCAGUAGCUACCAGUUUCAUAAUGAUGCCUUGCAGUAUAUGUGCAACGACAAGUCAUCCCCAUCAAUCAAGCACAAACAAUCCUCUGGACUAGAAGAUUAUGAGAAACAUUUGUUGUUUGAACAUCAAUGCCUUAGUCUGCUAUGUAGUUCCUUGUCCAGUUUUUUAAUGAACACUUAAUUAGUCUCAUUAUUUGCUCCAGUCAUCGACUUGUAUAUGCUUGUUGUGUCCCAUAUUGUCCAUAAUGUUGCCAGCUUGCUAAGAACUAUUGGUAAUGGUAAUUCAGAGAAAAUUUCCAAGCAAGUUUUA